AUGGCAAUCACUGAUGAUCCGAAGAAAGAGGCAUCAACUUGGUCCAUUUUUAAUUGGAAUAACAAAGCAGAGCCGGAGGUCGAGCAACCGAGAAUGAGAAGCACCCAAGAGAUCCUCACAAAAUAUAAAUUCAACGGGGAUGCUGCCGCGGCAGCGGCGCACGCAAAGGAUAAGCUCAUGGAGCGGCAGGAGAAACUCGCGAAAAUGGUCGAAGAAUCCGCAGAGUUUGAGAGCGAGGCGGAAAACUUUGCCACCCUCGGUCAGCAGAUCAGGAAAUCCCUGGAGACCAAGAGAUGGUGGUGGCCAUCGUGA
rnacentral:rRNA from 1 species